CGUUAAGUGGAUUUGGCAGUCCCAGACUAAAUUUUCCUGUUUCACUGAAGAUGGGAAUGGACUGAAUGAGACAGACAGCUGAAAGCAGAAAACCAUGGUUAUCAAACACAGAGCCAUGUAGCCUGUGGAGCCUGUGCCAACAGUGGUUACCAUGUUGAAACACCCCCAGAAAGGAAAGAGGCAUGGUUUGUCCUGUACUAGGAAUUAAGCAAUGCACAGCCUACUCCCGGCUCACAGAAGCAAGCUCUGACAGCUGACAGAAGAAGACACCCUCCCACAGCAGAGAAUGGGAAGCCUGGAUAUCUGCCUCUUGACAGAUUCUCUCGUUCAGUGACAGUAAGAUUAUAUCGCUUAGAAGAAGUCAAAUACAUGUUUACUUCAAACACAGGAUGAGCAAGAAAAACCUUAAAAUACUACCU